CCUACGGGAGGCAGCAGUCGGGAAUUUUGCGCAAUGGACGAAAGUCUGACGCAGCAACGCCGCGUGAGGGAGGAAAUCCUUCGGGAUGUAAACCUCACAAGCAAGGGAAGAGAGCUGCGGGCUGAAUAAUCCUGCAGUACGACGGUACCUUGCGUAAGCCACGGCUAACUACGUGCCAGCAGCCGCGGUAAU
rnacentral:rRNA from 1 species